GCAGAGACAUAGGCAGAGGGAGAAGAAGCAGGCUCCAUGCACCGGGAGCCCGACGUGGGAUUCGAUCUCGGGUCUCCAGGAUCGCGCCCUGGGCCAAAGGCAGGCGCCAAACCACUGACCACCCGGGGAUCCCCAGAUGCUAUUUUAAUUUGAAGUAUGACGUUUAAUUUUACUUGAAACUGAAGGAAGAGUUGACCUUCAAGUCAUGUUUCUUGACCACAAUUACCACCUUACUUGUUGAAAGGUACCUCUGAGAGUAAACAAAAAUGGUGAAAAGCAUUAAGAUAUUCAGUCAUUUUUUUUAAAUGAUACAUUUGAAUUGUGUGUGUACGCACACGUGCAUGAUCCUUUCCACUUGCCAAUCUCCCUUGCCCUGCCUCCUGACUUUUGUUACUUAUUUAAUAUUGUUACAUUGUCCAGGAUUAUAAGAAACAUAUUCUGUUCUGUAGAAAUAUAAUUGCAGUUACUUGGUAUACAUUGUAGAUUUAAAUGCAUUCCAAGCCUUUUAUCAAGGAUUCUCCAUUGCAAGCUCUUCAUUUCAAUUCAUCUCUUCAUGGACUGAGUUUCAUCGCUAAGCUGUUUUAUCAAGAAGAGUUUUGGAUGUUUAAGAAUGCCUGCCUGUUGCCUGUACACUGGAACCAGAUCUUGGCCAGGCUCAUGGAACCCCUGCCUCCCUGAGUUGGAAGCAUCUCUGCUCUUCCAAGGUGCUUGUGACCAAAGAAGAUUCUCUGGAAAAAAAAAAUAUGUCAAUUGUUCAGUAACCAGAGAGCUAUGGCCUAAGUGAAGGACUUCAAAUGGUCACAUGGUAGAGAGGCCAGGUGAUGUGCAGCUGGCCAGCCAGCCUUUUCCAGCAUGGCUUUCAGCCCUGAAGGCUGAACGGAUGGGACACAAGCAGGUGAGUGGAAGCCCCACCUGGGGACACACUAGAGAGAUGAGAAGUUAAAAUGUUGUGCUUGUUGGGGAAAAUGUGACCUUCAAAGAGAAUGAGGGAGAUUCGAGAGAGGACACAUGCUUCAUGCUGGCCAAGGCAUUUAAGGAAGUAAGCCAUCAGGACAGGAGACAGCUAACUAGGGAGAAGCAAAUCCACAUGCAGAGUGAUGGUUUUCUUUUGUUUCUUUUUUUAAAGAGAUUUUAUUUAUUCAUGAGAGACACACAGAGAGAGGCAGAGACACAGGCAGAGGGAGAAACGGGCUCCCUAGAGCCUAAUGCGGGACUCGAUCCCAGGACCUCAGGAUCAUACCCUGAGCCAAAGGCAGAUGCUCAACCACUGAGCCACUCAAGAGUCCCCAGAGUGAUGGCUUUCAACUCGGGCCCAGAAGAGCCAUGAAGAAGGGUGGAGAGGAGAAUGGGUCCAGUUGGAGGGGCUGUACCCCCUCCCCACAGACAGCUCCAUUCCAUCUGCCAUAUAUGAUGGGCUUUCACUUCAAGGAAGGGUUCCUCUGCAACUAAAAAUAAGCCUGGAAACCACACCUCUGGUGAGAAUCCAUUCAGAGGGACAAACUGGAUCUGGAAAGGGCUGCUGCUGAAAGGAAUCCAGAGGAAUCAGUGAGUCUGAGUCAAGAUAGCUGAGAGGUAAGGUUUUACCUGCAACCAAGGGGUUGGCCAGGGAAAAUAGAGGCAGGAGUUCAAGGAAACUGACAGAAAUUACUCUAAGUUGAAUUCAGAAUAGAAAUAAAAACAAAUUAGCAAUAAAGAACAGACACACACAAGAAUGAGGCCAUCUGACUGAAGAAUGAAAAUAGAACUAAGGAUCUGGUUAAUGUACAAAACCCAAUCUAGGGACACCUGGGUGGCUCAGUGGUUGAGCAUCUCCCUUUGGUUCAGCUCAUGAUCCUGGGGUCUUUGGAUGAGUCUCGCAUCGGGCUCCCCACAGGGAGCCUGCUUCUCCCCCUGCCUCUGUCUCUGCCUCUCAUGAAUAAAUAAAUAAAAUCUAAAAAAAAAAAAAAAAA
rnacentral:lncRNA from 1 species